UGGACAGAUUAUUGUAUUCGACUGUAUUCACGGCGUGAAACAGGGGAUUACACUGUUUUUAAAACAGAAAGUUAAUCAAUUAACAUAAUAGACUCCU
rnacentral:pre_miRNA from 1 species